GAGGAAUAUUGGUCAAUGGACGGAAGUCUGAACUAGCCAAGUAGCGUGCAGGAUGACGGCCCUAUGGGUUGUAAACUGCUUUUGUAUGGGGAUAAAGUUAGGGACGUGUCCCUAUUUGCAGGUACCAUACGAAUAAGGACCGGCUAAUUCCGUGCCAGCAGCCGCGGUAAUACGGAAGGUCCAGGCGUUAUCCGGAUUUAUUGGGUUUAAAGGGAGCGUAGGCUGGAGAUUAAGUGUGUUGUGAAAUGUAGACGCUCAACGUCUGAAUCGCAGCGCAUACUGGUUUCCUUGAGUACGCACAACGUUGGCGGAAUUCGUCGUGUAGCGGUGAAAUGCUUAGAUAUGACGAAGAACUCCGAUUGCGAAGGCAGCUGACGGGAGCGCAACUGACGCUUAAGCUCGAAGGUGCGGGUAUCAAACAGGAUUAGAUACCCUGGUAGUCCGCACAGUAAACGAUGGAUGCCCGCUGUUGGUACCUGGUAUCAGCGGCUAAGCGAAAGCAUUAAGCAUCCCACCUGGGGAGUACGCCGGCAACGGUG
rnacentral:rRNA from 1 species